UUUUCAACUUUUACUUUGUAUGAUAUAUGUUAUGAGUGUUCACUUAUGAAAAUUUCAAGUGAUAACCAAUGUGUAUUUCAUUUAAAGUGAUUGUAGUGACCUUAUCUAAAUAUCUUCACAUGUAUGUUAUACUAUCUCUAGCUUAUGCUUGCUUGGAAUAUUUCAAAUUUAUGUUGAUGACAUUAUUUUUGGAUCUACUAAUAUGCAACUUGUCA
rnacentral:lncRNA from 1 species